GAUGAACGCUGACCGAAUGCUUAACACAUGCAAGUCAACUUGAACUUCGGUUUGGGUGGCGGACGGGUGAGUAACGCGUAAAGAACUUGCCUCACAGCUAGGGACAACAUUUGGAAACGAAUGCUAAUACCUGAUAUUAUGAUUAUAUGGCAUCGUAUAAUUAUGAAAGCUAUAUGCGCUGUGAGAGAGCUUUGCGUCCCAUUAGCUAGUUGGAGAGGUAACAGCUCGCCAAGGCGAUGAUGGGUAGCCGGCCUGAGAGGGUGAUCGGCCACAAGGGGACUGAGACACGGCCCUUACUCCUACGGGAGGCAGCAGUGGGGAAUAUUGGACAAUGGACCGAGAGUCUGAUCCAGCAAUUCUGUGUGCACGAUGAAGUUUUUCGGAAUGUAAAGUGCUUUCAGUUGGGAAGAAAAAAAUGACGGUACCAACAGAAGAAGUGACGGCUAAAUACGUG
rnacentral:rRNA from 1 species